GACGAACGCUGGCGGCGUGCUUAACACAUGCAAGUCGAACGGAAAGGCCCUGCUUUUGUGGGGUGCUCGAGUGGCGAACGGGUGAGUAACACGUGAGUAACCUGCCCUUGACUUUGGGAUAACUUCAGGAAACUGGGGAUAAUACCGGAUAGGAGCUCCUGCUGCAUGGUGGGGGUUGGAAAGUUUCGGCGGUUGGGGAUGGACUCGCGGCUUAUGAGUUUGUUGGUGGGGUAGUGGAUUACCACGGCGUUGACGGGUAGCCGGCCUGAGAGGGUGACCGGCCACAUUGGGACUGAGAGACGGCCCAGAGUCCUACGGUAGGCAGCAGUGGGGAAUAUUGCACAAUGGGCGGAAGCCUGGUGCAGCAACGCCGCGUGUGGGAUGACGGCCUUCGGGUUGUAAACCGCUUCCGCCUGUGACGAAGCGUUAAUGACGGUAAUGGGUAAAUAAGCACCGGCUAACUACGUG
rnacentral:rRNA from 1 species